AUGAGAAAAACAAAAAUCAGUGCUGCUAGAUCCCCCUAGAGGCUGAAGUGUUCAUUACAGCAACAAUAUGAACAAACCAACCAGCCGUGGAGCUAUAAAUGUAAAGUCUGAAGUUGAAGUGCUUACAGUGGAAGGACUGAGGGCUUCUCCGUUCAGUUUCCACUGGCCGUGGACGUCGUCCUCAGAGAUCUCCACCUCGAAACGAGCCGUCUCCCCAUCAAACAGCUCCACGCCAUAAAUCGGCCGAACUACCUUGAUGUCACGAGCUGGACCAGAGACCUGCGAGUGCCCUCCGACCUCAUGACCACCAUCUUGGAGGCGAUGAUCUCCUUCUCGCUGUGAUACCAAACAACGGGGACGUC